GUAAAAGUCGUAACAAGGUUUCCGUAGGUGAACCUGCGGAAGGAUCAUUAAAAAAUUGGACUCCAUUGGUGAGUUCAUUAAUAAUCCCUACCCUUUGUGAAUUUGUUUGUUUGAAUAAUUUUUUUUCCAAAAAAAAUUAUUGAAUGUCUUUCCUUGUUUUGGUGGAGCUUGUAAAGUGAAACCAGGCAGGGGAAUGGCAAACAAUAAUUAUUUUUGAAAAAGACCUUUUUUUAAAAUUAAACUUUUUGUAUUCAUUUGUCUAAAAUUAAUUUUUAUAAUAUAAAAACAACUUUUGACAAUGGAUCUCUUGGUUCUCGCAACGAUGAAGAACGCAGCAAAAUGCGAUAAGUAGUGUGAAUUGCAGAAUACGUGAAUCAUCGAAUCUUCGAACGCAUAUUGCACUUUUUUAGUUCACUAGAAAAGUAUGUCUGUUUGAGUAUCAGUAAAAUAUUCUCAUAAAAAACAUUGUUUUUUUUAUGGUUAUGAGUGUUUUACAACGAUAACAAGUUGUUUCACUUUAAAUUCUUUGUUAUCAAAAAAAUCAUUAAAAGCUAAUUUUAAAGAUUUUUCAAAAUUGGAUAAAAUUUUCCCGUAAAAAGGAAUAACCUAAACAAUUUUAAAAAAUUAAAAUUGGUUUGAUUUUUUUUGAAACCCAAAGGAAAAAAAAACGAAAUUAACUUGAUCUCAAAUCAGAUAAGAGUACCCGCUGAACUUAAGCAUAUCAAUAAGCGGAGGAAAAGAAACUAACUAGGAUUCCCUCAGUAACGGCGAGUGAAGCGGGAAGAGCUCAAAUUUGAAAUCUUCAAGGUUUUACCUUGACGAAUUGUAGUUUAAAGAAGUGUUUUCUGUUGGAGUUUUGGUAAAAGUUCUUUGGAAAAGGACAUCAUAGAGGGUGAGAAUCCCGUAUUUGACCAUUAUCUCCAGCUUUGUGAUACACUUUCAAAGAGUCGGAUUGUUUGGGAAUGCAGUCCAAAAUGGGUGGUAAAUUUCACCUAAAGCUAAAUACUGGCGAGAGACCGAUAGCGAACAAGUACCGUGAGGGAAAGAUGAAAAGAACUUUGAAAAGAGAGUUAAACAGUACGUGAAAUUGUCAAAAGGGAAGCGUUUGACACCAGUGUUGUUUUCUCGAAAAUCAAUUAAAAAAGGCCGGAUUUUGUGUUGUAUUGACUUUAUCAGCUUUCUGCACUCUUUUCUUGUCUUUUUUAAUGCACUUUUCGUUUAACAAGUCAACAUCAAUUUCUUUUGUUGUAAAAGGAUCAUUGGAAGGUGGCUUUCUUUUCGGAGAAAGUGUUUAUAGCCUUUGGCCUCUGCAAUCGGAGAGAUUGAGGUCUGCAGCGUAGAUCCUUCGGGGUUAGAUACAUUUGUGCUAAGUUAUAGCCUUUCAUAGACAACUUGUUGACUAUGAUCAGUCAUGUAGCUUACUCGCUUAUGCUAUUUUACCUACGCUUAGGAUGUUGAG
rnacentral:misc_RNA from 1 species